rnacentral:lncRNA from 1 species
AAAAAAUUCACACAUUAAAAAUCAAACAUCAACAAAUCAUGAAAGUAAUACUAAAAAAAACUAGACAUCAAAACAAAUCUAUGAAAAAAAAUUGGAGUUAAUUUGGAUCAUUUUUCAAUGUUUAAUGAUUUUAACAAGAUGAACAAAAUAAAUGGAAUAACAAAAGAAAUAUGGAGGGAAAACAAAUAUUUGAAUCAAAUCAGAAAAAAC